GCAAGGAGGCGUCGGCGGUCGCUAUAGAAACAAGUCGCUUAAGAGCCAGGAGGGGGGAGGUUAGCGAGUGCCGGAAGUUCGAGUCAUGUGACCGGAGCCCUCGCUAUAAACGCGCUUUAGAACCUUGCGCGACCGAAGGAAGUCGUCCGGCCGGCUUGAAGCCGACGCGAAGAUCUCUGGGAAGUGGAGUCCAUUAGCGAGCAGCGCCGCAGAGCGGAGGACUCUGGGAAACGUAGGCCCAGUGAGGGAGCCUCCUCGGCUUCCAUCCCCUUCCCAUCCAGCCCCGUACCUUCGUGGGCCCCACCAAGCACAGAAGCCUGAGGAGUGGAAUUAGCCCUACGAGUUGUAAGCAGAGAGACCUGCAGCCUGAACAAAAAGACGCAAGGAACUGGCCACCUCAGCGUCCUCACCCGCCUUUUGGUUUACUCAUUACUCUGUUCAUGAAAUAUGGAUCACAGCCCUAAAUUGAGAGACAGACACAGAGAUCUCUUUCCAAGGGAAAAAUGGACAGUUUAUACAUAAUGACACACUUCCUGUGCUAUAAUAAACAUUUUUAUUUUAUAGUUCA